rnacentral:tRNA from 1 species
UGGCUCAGUUGGUAGAGCAUGGUGUUUGCAACGCCAGGAUUGUGGGUUUGAGUCCCAC